rnacentral:rRNA from 1 species
UACGUAGGUGGCGAGCGUUAUCCGGAAUUACUGGGUGUAAAGGGUGUGUAGGCGGGGAUGCAAGUCAGAUGUGAAACCCAUGGGCUCAACCCAUGAUGUGCAUUUGAAACUGCGUUUCUUGAGUGUGGGAGAGGUAAGCGGAAUUCCUAGUGUAGCGGUGAAAUGCGUAGAUAUUAGGAGGAACACCAGUGGCGAAGGCGGCUUACUGGACCACAACUGAGGCUGAGACACGAAAGCGUGGGGAGCAAACAGGAUUAGAUACCCUGGUAGUCCACGCUGUAAACGAUGAAUGCUAGGUGUAGGGGGCUUGACCCUCUGUGCCGGAGUUAACACAAUAAGCAUUCCACCUGGGGAGUACGGCCGCAAGGUUGAA